AGUGAACGCUGGCGGCGUGCCUAAUACAUGCAAGUCGAACGGAGUGGAGCACGGGGGAGUAAUGUAUAGCUAAUCUGCUCUAUACUAGAGCACAACAGGUGGAAACGAAUGCUAAUACUCUAUAGUGUAGGAUGAGGCUAUAUUGUAUCAGCUAGUUGGUGAGGUAAUGGCUCACAAAGGGUAUGACGCAUAACUGGUAUGAGCGGAUAACCAGUCGCACUGGAAGUGAGGCAGCGUCCAGACUCCUGCGGGAAGGAGCGGUAGGGAGACUUGCUCAAUGGGGGAGACCCUGAAAGGGCAACGGCGCGUGAAGGAUUGCAGUUUUCGGAGCGUAAACUCCUUAUGUUAGGAAAGCGGUACCUAACGAGUAAGCACCGGCUAACUCCGUGCCAGCAGCCGCGGUAAUAC
rnacentral:rRNA from 1 species